rnacentral:misc_RNA from 1 species
ACGAUUUAGAAGCUAUAAUGAAUUUUAAGUCGAUAAUAUCUGCAGAGACUCUUCCUUUUCCUCAUCAUCAUUGAAUCCCACUACCCUUAGAAGCAAUUAAGCUAAUUAAGAUGGCCUACGUCGUUUCAGAAAGUGCCUCCUCAUCCUCUCCUCUUUUUGGAAGGUAGCGGCCUUUCAUCUAUCUAAUCUUUGGCUCAUCUGAAUAGCUUUAAAUUUGUUUGUCUGUAUAGAACUCAAUGCGCCACAUUAUUUGCGACCAAAGUGCAGCAGAAAGUGUAGAUCCAACCAUGCAACGUCACAUCCCAUGCAAAAGAAGAAAACUUCCAACAGGCUUAUCUGAUUCUACUAUUGCACAUGAAAUGGAAUCUUCACUGAAUACAUA